AACGCGAAGAACCUUACCUAGACUUGACAUCCCCGGCAAAACUAUAGAAAUAUAGCCGAGGUUAUCCGGGUGACAGGUGGUGCAUGGUUGUCGUCAGCUCGUGUCGUGAGAUGUUUGGUUAAGUCCAAUAACGAGCGCAACCCUCGUCUUUAGUUGCUAACAUUUAGUUGAGAACUUUAAAGAGACUGCCAAUGCAAAUUGGAGGAAGGUGGGGAUGACGUCAAAUCAUCAUGCCCCUUACGUCUAGGGCUACAGGCGUGCUACAAUGGCCGAUACAACGAGUUGCAACAUAGCGAUAUGAAGCUAAUCUCUUAAAGUCGGUCUCAGUCCGGAUUGGAGUCUGCAAUUCGACUCCAUGAAGUUGGAAUCGCUAGUAAUCCCGAAUCAGAAUGUCAGGGGUGAAUACGUUCCCGGGCCGUACACACCG
rnacentral:rRNA from 1 species